UGGGGCGUAGCCAAGGGUAAGGCAGCGGUUUUUGGUACCGCCAUCCUAGGUUCGAAUCCUAGCGCCCCAGCCA
rnacentral:tRNA from 1 species